UAUCAAUAAGCGGAGGAAAAGAAACCAACAGGGAUUGCCUUAGUAACGGCGAGUGAAGCGGCAACAGCUCAAAUUUGAAAUCUGGCCCUCGGGUCCGAAUUGUAAUUUGUAGAGGAUGAUUUUGGUGCGGUAUCUUCCGAGUUCCUUGGAACAGGACGCCUUAGAGGGUGAGAGCCCCGUACGGUUGAAUGCCUAGCCUCUGUAAAUCUCCUUCGACGAGUCGAGUAGUUUGGGAAUGCUGCUCUAAAUGGGAGGUAAAUUUCUUCUAAAGCUAAAUAUUGGCCAGAGACCGAUAGCGCACAAGUAGAGUGAUCGAAAGAUGAAAAGCACUUUGAAAAGAGGGUUAAAUAGCACGUGAAAUUGUUGAAAGGGAAGGAUUUGUGACCAGACUUUUUCUGGGCGGAUCAUCCGGGGUUCUCUCCGGUGCACUUUGCCCAGUAAAGGCCAGCAUCGAUUUUCGGCGGCGGAUAAAAGCAGUGGGAAUGUGGCUCCCCACGGGGAGUGUUAUAGCCCAUUGUAUAAUACGCUGCUGGGGAUCGAGGUACGCGCUUCUGCAAGGAUGCUGGCGUAAUGGUUAUCAAUCACCCGUCUUGAAACACGGACCAAGGAGUCGAACAUUUAUGCGAGUGUUUGGGUGUUAAACCCUCACGCGUAAUGAAAGUGAACGGAGGUGAGAGCCCGUACGGGUGCAUCAUCGACCGAUCCUGAAGUUUUCGGAUGGAUUUGAGUAAGAGCAUAACUGUUCGGACCCGAAAGAUGGUGAACUAUGCGUGGAUAGGGUGAAGCCAGAGGAAACUCUGGUGGAGGCUCGCAGCGGUUCUGACGUGCAAAUCGAUCGUCAAAUCUGCGCAUGGGGGCGAAAGACUAAUCGAACCAUCUAGUAGCUGGUUACCGC
rnacentral:rRNA from 1 species